rnacentral:rRNA from 1 species
AGUGAACGCUGGCGGCGUGCCUAAUACAUGCAAGUCGAACGGAGUGGCGCACGGGUAAGUAAUAUAAAGCUAAUCUGCCGCUUGCUGGAGGACAACAGUUAGAAAUGACUGAUAAUACUCCAUAGCAAGGGAUGAGACUAUAUCGUAUCAGCUAGUCGGUGGGGUAACGGCCUACCGAGGCUAUGACGAGUAACUGGUCUGAGAGGAGGAUCAGGCACAUUGUAACUGGGACACGGUUCAAACUCCUACGGGAGGCAGCAGGAGGGAAUCUUGCGCAAUGGGGGAAACCCUGACGCAGCAACGCCGCGUGGAGGAUGACACGUUUCGGAGCGUAAACGCCUUUUGUUAGGGAAGCGGUACCUAACGAAUAAGCACCGGCUAACUCCGUGCCAGCAGCCGCGGUAAUUC